GAUGCUGCCUGGAAAUGGUUAGCACAGGCUGAACAUGAUAUGGUUGCCAGCCAUCAUCUCGAGAGUCUAGAUUUGCUACUUGAAAUAUGCAGCAUAUGAAAUGUGAAAACGACAUGUCAUAUUGCAUCCUAAUUAGAAAUGGAGAACAAAGAACUCCACAGGACCUGCGGUUUCUCUCUACUGAUGAGAAAAGGGAUUGCUCUGAAGAAGGUCUGGCUUUUAACGCUGGGGCCAACAGCAGCCUAAAGCCUUCCAGCUCACCUGGGAGGAUGCCUGUGAGCCAGCAUGCCAUGAGAAGAUGAACUCUGCAUGGGUUAACGCUGCCCUGGGUUAGCAUUGCUUUUCUUUUCCCUGAUUUCUUCCUGCCCUUUUAACUAAUACUUAGUUUCUAGCGCUGCAUCCUCUGUUUUGCAAAACAAAUCUUAACGUAAACGGAGAGCUCCUAUGCCUCAGAAUGCAGAAUGGACGUAGCUUCCAUUUAGGUCACGCCAAGCUUUACCCCUGUGACUUGAGGAAAAUUGGGUUUGAUGAAAUUCUGCCUAACUUGAUUUUUUUUUUUUAAUUAUUAUUAUUUUAUUUUUUUAAAUUAAGGAUGGAACAUAUAUAUAAUUAGUUGACAUAUUAAAGUAUAUAAUUCAAAUGAGAAUAGCAUACUUCUGGAAGACAAUGCAAGUGUAGUCAUCCAGAUAUCAAUAAAAAUAUAUUUAUUACCUGCGAUUAACCUACUUAAUCAUUGCUGGAUGCAUUAAAAGUGUCCUUUAUUUUCAAGCAAGUUAUUAUUCAUUAAAAUUCAAAGG